UGAGGGGAGGACAAGGGGUGGAGGAGAAGAAGGAGGAGGGGAUGGAGAGAGAAGGAGGAGGGGAUGGAGAGAGAAGGAGGGGAAGGAGAGAGGACAAAAUAUUCAAAACAAAGGACGCUUUUGGACGACAGAAAAAGUUCUCGUAAACAUCCAGCUCUUACAAGGAUGGGCAGUCUUCCAAUCGCCCUGCUCCUCUGCGGUUUCCAUGUCCUCACAGCUGUAGCCCAAGCCCCGCAGGCUGAGGUGGAACUCCACAGAGGUGACUGGAAUGAAGAGGAGGCUUUGGUGUCUGUUUCUACCUUACCACCUGGUGAGUGAGGUGUCUGUCUCUACCCUACCACCUAGUGAGUGAGGUGUCUGUCUCUACCCUACCACCUGGUGAGUGAGGUGUCUGUCUCUACCCUACCACCUAGUGAGUGAGGUGUCUGUCUCUACCUUACCACUUGGUGAGUGAGGUGUCUGUCUUUACCCUACCUCCUGGUGAGUGAGGUGUCUGUCUCUACCCUACCACCUGGUGAGUGAGGUGUCUGUCUCUACCCUACCUCCUGGUGAGUGAGGUGUCUGUCUCUACCCUACCUCCUGGUGAGUGAGGUGUCUGUCUCUACCCUACCUCCUGGUGAGUGAGGUGUCUGUCUCUACCCUACCUCCUGGUGAGUGAGGUGUCUGUCUCUACCCUACCUCCUGGUGAGUGAGGUGUCUGUCUCUACCCUACCUCCUGGUGAGUGAGGUGUCUGUCUCUACCCUACCUCCUGGUGAGUGAGGUGUCUGUCUCUACCCUACCUCCUGGUGAGUGAGGUGUCUGUCUCUACCCUACCUCCUGGUGAGUGAGGUGUCUGUCUCUACCCUACCUCCUGGUGAGUGAGGUGUCUGUCUCUACCCUACCUCCUGGUGAGUGAGGUGUCUGUCUCUACCCUACCUCCUGGUGAGUGAGGUGUCUGUCUCUACCCUACCUCCUGGUGAGUGAGGUGUCUGUCUCUACCCUACCUCCUGGUGAGUGAGGUGUCUGUCUCUACCCUACCUCCUGGUGAGUGAGGUGUCUGUCUCUACCCUACCUCCUGGUGAGUGAGGUGUCUGUCUCUACCCUACCUCCUGGUGAGUGAGGUGUCUGUCUCUACCCUACCUCCUGGUGAGUGAGGUGUCUGUCUCUACCCUACCUCCUGGUGAGUGAGGUGUCUGUCUCUACCCUACCUCCUGGUGAGUGAGGUGUCUGUCUCUACCCUACCUCCUGGUGAGUGAGGUGUCUGUCUCUACCCUACCACUUGGUGAGUGAGGUGUCUGUCUCUACCCUAUCACC